rnacentral:rRNA from 1 species
UACGAAGGGGGCUAGCGUUGCUCGGAAUCACUGGGCGUAAAGCGCACGUAGGCGGAUUUUUAAGUCAGGGGUGAAAUCCUGGAGCUCAACUCCAGAACUGCCUUUGAUACUGGAGAGCUUGAGUCCGGAAGAGGUGAGUGGAACUCCGAGUGUAGAGGUGAAAUUCGUAGAUAUUCGGAAGAACACCAGUGGCGAAGGCGGCUCACUGGUCCGGUACUGACGCUGAUGUGCGAAAGCGUGGGGAGCAAACAGG